rnacentral:rRNA from 1 species
GUCUACAGCCAUACCACCCUGAAGGAGCCCAAUCACGUCUGAUCUUGGAAGCUAAGCAGGGUCGGGCCUGGUUAGUACUUAGUACUUGGAUGGGAGAAUAUGUUGGAAUAAAUA